rnacentral:rRNA from 1 species
GAUGAACGCUGGCGGCGUGCUUAACACAUGCAAGUCGAACGUGAAGAAGCAGCAAUGUUUCUGAAAGUGGCGGACGGGUGAGUAACACGUGGGUGACCUGCCUUGCAGAGGGGGAUAACGAGGGGAAACCUUCGCUAAUACCGCAUAGGCUUACACCGAUGGGAAUGGUGUGGGUAAACUGAGGUGCUGCAAGAGGGGCCUGCGUCCGAUUAGCUAGUUGGUGAGGUAAUGGCUCACCAAGGCGAUGAUCGGUAGCUGGUCUGAGAGGACGAUCAGCCACACGGGAACUGAGAAACGGUCCCGACUCCUACGGGGGGCAGCAGUGAGGAAUAUUGGGCAAUGGACGAAAGUCUGACCCAGCAACGCCGCGUGGAGGAUGAAGGUUUUUGGAUUGUAAACUCCUUUUGUGGGGAAGAGUGAGGACGGUACCCCAAGAAUAAGUCACGGCUAACUACGUG